UACGGGGGAUGCAAGCGUUAUCCGGAAUCAUUGGGCGUAAAGCGCCUGUAGGUUGUUUAAUAAGUCUGUUGUUAAAGACUAGGGCUUAACCCUAGAAAAGCAAUGGAAACUGCUAGACUUGAGUAUGAUAGGGGUAGAGGGAAUUUCUAGUGUAGCGGUGAAAUGCGUAGAUAUUAGAAAGAACACCGGUGGCGAAGGCGCUCUACUGGAUCAUUACUGACACUCAGAGGCGAAAGCUAAGGUAGCAAAAGGGAUUAGAUACCCCUGUAGUCUUAGCCGUAAACGAUGGAUACUAGAUGUUGUGUUUUUAUGCGGUAUCGUAGCUAACGCGUUAAGUAUCCCGCCUGGGGAGUACGCUCGCAAGGGUG
rnacentral:rRNA from 1 species